rnacentral:rRNA from 1 species
CAGUCGCCACGGGAAUACAGAGGGUGCGAGCGUUAAUCGGAUUUACUGGGCGUAAAGCGUGCGUAGGCGGCUUUUUAAGUCGGAUGUGAAAUCCCUGAGCUUAACUUAGGAAUUGCAUUCGAUACUGGGAAGCUAGAGUAUGGGAGAGGAUGGUAGAAUUCCAGGUGUAGCGGUGAAAUGCGUAGAGAUCUGGAGGAAUACCGAUGGCGAAGGCAGCCAUCUGGCCUAAUACUAACGCUGAGGUACGAAAGCAUGGGGAGCAAACAGGAUUAGAUACCCCGGUAGUCCCUGUCUCUUAUAC